rnacentral:lncRNA from 1 species
GAGCUAGCUAGCCGAGCUAGCCGCAAGACAGGCAGCACGGCCAGCCUCCGAGAGCCCAUCCCUAGAGGUCCUGGUUCCUGGAAUGCGUGAGCAGGAAGGGCCAGGAGGAGGGGAGAGGGAGCCAGGGAGGGGAAGGCAGCCAGAUGACAGCCGAGGAGGAAGGGUGCCCUCCCCCCAAAUACAGAAGCAAGUAUCUAUGACCCCAGCUGGCCAACGACCAUCCCAAGGACUCAGAAAUUCAGGUGAGUUCAGAACCCGCUUUCCCUCCCGGGUCUGGGACUCGGGGUGGUCCAAUUUCCUCUCUAUGUGUACCUCAGAAAAAUCAUCAGAAUGAGGGCCCAGGAAACAGAAGUGGACUUGAGGCGGCCUGACAGCAGUGAGUUGAUGGAAGAGGAUACCCCCCAGAGGCUGCUCCCCUUCCAGGCCCCAGCCCUCGCCUGGACCCCAGCUCUCCCCCACCCCACGGUCAGGAAGCCCGCCUCGCCCUGUUUGCCCCACCCUGGGACAGACCCUGCAGGCAAACAGGGGCUUCUGGGGACCCUCCCCGCAGAGUCCCCACCCAAAGGCCUCUCCCUCCCCGAGGCGGGGGAGGGCGGGUCCCGAGAUCUCAGGCCUUGAUCCCUUUGCCAUAGGCACGACUUCCUGGCCACCCCCUCUGCCUUCGACUGCCACCCCCUCAUCCCCUCAACAUUCCACAGCCCCCCCCCGCCAGCAGAAGGCACUGCUGCCCCACCAUCCCUGCGGUGGAAACCUCCCUAUCAUGCCGUGGCCUUUGCUCACUGCCACACGCCACCGGGCAUCCUCUACCCCCACAGGGGUGCCUUUCCCAGAAGCAUCUGGGCUGUCAGACCGCACAGAGCCACGUGGGGACAGGACCGGGCGCCGGCUGCCUUGGUGGGGCCUCUGCUGCCCUCCCGUGGGCUGCAGGCAAGAGAGCCCCUGGCCCGUGGCAUCAAAGGUGUCGCCUCCUCUCCUUGCCUCCUGGGGGUAGCACCCAGGGGCCUCCUUUCCUCUGUGGAUAUAAGACGGUUCAGUGUAAGGACAGUGCUCAGAACAACGCCUGGUCCUUAGGGAGAGCUCGAUAUAUGUUAAUAUCACCCUCUAAAUUAAUCCUCAUAGCAUCCCUGUGAGGUCAGCAUUAUGCGCCUACUUAACUGGUGGGGAAACCGAGGCAGAGAGAGGCGAAGCCACUGCCCCGAGUUUAGCAGCACUAACCGGCUGAUCAGGGAUUUGAACCCAAGUCUAUUGGAAGCUGUGCUUUCCAGGCUUUCCAGUCUGCGCUGGUUUGGCAGCCGGCUUUGGACACACACACACACACACACACACACACACACACACACACACACACACACACACACACACACACACACACACACACACCCCCACCCCGCGGGAGGGGAUGAGAGGCUGCACCCCACCAAGAGGAGGAGGCGGAGCCUUUCUGAGGCACCAGCCUCCUGUUCGGGCUCCAGAGCAGCACGCGCGCCACCUGGUGGCCAUGAUAGGUAAAUGCCACCUCGGUCCCAGUCUACCCCUCCCUGCCCGCAGCCUGGCGCUUCCUGUGGCCCCUGGGGCUAAGGUGUGUGCUGAGGCUGCAGAGCUGAUUCUGCAGAGCUGUUGCGUCCCAGGUUAGGCCCCCAAACCAGGGCAGACUGGAAAGCCCCAGGCCUGGUGGCUGAGAGCACAGCUUCCAAUAGACUUGGGUUCAAAUCCCUGACCAGUGGGCUAAACUCAGGACACGGAAGUCGGUUUCCUUUCCACUGAGCUUCCUCCAGGGAUGGAGAAAUGAGCCAUCCCCGUGUUGCUGUGCUUGGGCUGCUGGUGGUUUGGGACAGGUGUUGCAGCAGAAAGUUCAUUUUGCUGAAAAUACAUCGUAUAUUUCCCCCAAAUGCCUAUUCUAGUUAAUAUUCUUUUUCUUUUUUGGCUGCACCUGAGACAUGCAGAAGUUCCCAAGCCAGAGAUCAAACCUGCACCACAGGAGUGACCUGAGCCACUGCAGUGACAAGGCUGGAUCCUUAACCUGCUGCAUCAAAAGAGAACUCCCCUAUUCUUUUCCUGAUUCCUUUAUGUAAGUGACAGGUUAUUCCAGAGGCGCUUUCCCCACUUAGCCUGGUGCUGGCGGCUCAACCCAGCUCUUCCUCCUCCUCCAAGCUCGCUCUGCUCCUGGGUCUGGGGGCGCCCGGCUGCAUCUCCCUCCCAGGCUUUCCUCCCAAGCUGCCGCACUGGCUCUUCAGCAGCCUGGAGGCCUACCCCACCAGGGCACGUGGCGGUCCCCUCCAAGGGACCUGCCUCCAAUGUGACUUCCUACCUACCUGCUCCCAUGGUUGUAAGCAAUCCUCAUCCAGUUAACUCACUCAGGUUUAACUACAAUUUCCACAGCACAGGUGAAAGUUGGGGGUGCAGGGAGGGGUCUGAGGAUUUGGACAACCUGGAGCCGGAAGCCAGACCCCGGCUGACUUGGUCCAGAAGCUGCAGGGGCCCAUGGGGCUGGAUGGCUCAGGAGGACGGUUGGGGGCAGGAUGGGACCUAACAUGCAACGGGAAAUGAAGAUUUCCAGAUGACUUUUCACGUGGGCAGUAAACCAAGCAUCGGGCCCCUUGGAGCACCUGGGUCAGGUCGGACAGGAGGUGAAGGAAGCCAGGCGGGACUGUGGCUCUGGGCCUCUUCAGCCAGGUCCAGGGUAGGUUGUAGGAGAUGUGCCUGCUGCCUUCCCACAAGGUGACCCCCUCCCCAGCCUCCCAGGGGCCCCUUGUUGAGAGUAGAAAGGCCCCUUGGGUCCUGAGAGCCAGAAAGCAGGGGCGACAGAGAGGGGGCACUGCUGCUUUCUCUCCUUUGACCAGAUCCCUCCUCCCUGUCAAUCCUCGUCUCUGACCUCAAAAUCCCCAGAUAGGAGCUCCCGUCAUGGCUCAGCGGAAAUCCAUGAGGACACAGGUUCGAUUCCUGGCCUCCCUCAGUGGGUUAAGGAUCUGGCGUGGCCAUGAGCUGUGGUGUAGAUUGCAGAUGCGGUUCGAAUCUGGUGUUGCUGUGACUGUGGUGUAGGCUGAUAGCUGUAGCUCUGAUUCAACCCCUAGCCUGGGAACCUCUAUAUGCCAAGGGGGUGGCCCUAAAAAGCAGAAAAAUAAAAUAAAAUAAAAUUAAAUUAAAAAAUAAAAUAAAAUAAAAUAGGGAGUUCCCGCCAUGGCUCAGUGGAAACAAAUCUGACUAGCAUCCAUGAGGAUGCAGGUUCGAUCCCUUGCCUUGCUCAGCGGGUUAAGGAUUCGGCACUGCCCUGUGCUGUGGUGUAGCUCACAGACCCAACUCUGAUCCUGCAUUAUUUUGGCUGUGGUGAAGGCCAGCAGCUGCAGCUCCGACACAACCCCUAGCCUGAGAAUCUCCAUAUGCUGCGGGUGUGUCCCUGAAAAGACAAAAAAUAAAAUAAACGAAGCUCCCAGACAACCCAGAGGGAUUCUCAUAUCAGGACCAGUAGCUUCCCCACCCCCCCACGUCUCCCCACACUAGGUCCCUGGGCCAGGAGCAUUUAAAAUGUGCGGCAGGAGUUCCCUGGGGGCUCAGUGUGUUAAGGAUCCAGCGUUGUCACUGCUGUGGCUCUGGUUGCCUCUGUGGCACAGGUUCACUCACUGGCCUGAGAACUUCCACAUGCCACAGAUAUGGGCAAAAAAGAAAUAAAAUAAAAUAAAAUGAAAUAAAAUUUUAAAAAAUGUGCUAUGAGCAUCACUCACACACGGGACGUGCUGUAACUCAUCUUCCCUCCUGCUGAGCCCAGAGCUGCUCACUGUAAUGAAAGCUGACUCUCAACAGCAGGAGGUCAUUUUUAAGAAGUUACGGUACCAAAGAUGAAAAAGGGUGACAUCGGCAGGACUCAUGUAGAGGAAUACUUACUGAAAAAGGAAAAGGCUCAAGAUAUGAGAGUUGUUUUAAAAACCUGCCUUAAAAAAACCCCAACCCAGCACGUCCAAAUGACGCCAGUUUUGUUAAACAAUUCUUCACAUUUUCACUCGUUGUUCUGUCAACCCCAGAGGGGCCUCCUGGGUGCCAAGCCUCACCUGCAUGGGGUGGGUGUGAGGAAGCCCCCUUGCUCCAGACCGCACCGGUGAGUCGCAGUCUUGGCUGCCCACAGGAAGCGCCAGGGGCUAAGGGAAAGCUUGAAGGCUUCCUGGAGGAAGCGGCUUUGGGAGGAGUGAGGGUUGGCUGAGCAGAAGGGCGAGGGAGACCCAGAGGCUCCAGAGGAGGGCUCACCAGCUUGGGAACCGGCCCGAUAGAGCCCAGGCAGCACUCAGGGCUGAAAUGGAGCCCCGACCAGGCACCAGAACGGGAGCUGCCCAGGGGUCUGGGUCCACCCAGCUCCCACUCCUGACACAAAGUCUUGCAAAAUAAAUAAAAACGGAGAACAGAACCUCCCAUUGUGGCUCAGGGGGUUAAGAACCCAACAUAGUGUCCAUGAGGAUGUGGAUUUGAUCCCCGCCUCACUCAGUGGGUUAAGGACCCAGCGUUGCUCUGGCUGGGGUGGAGGUCACAGAUGUGGCUCGGAUUUGACCCCUAGCCUGGAAACUUCAAUACGCUGCAGGUGUGGCCCUAAAAAGAAAGAAUAAGAAAAACAAGAAAAGAGAAAAGAAGGCAUGGACUGCCCUCUUUGUAGCCCCUGCUGGCUUGCCUGGCCACCCAGUGGGUGCAGCGCCCCAAUGCACCAGGGGACAAAUGUGGCAGCCGUGGCAGAGGGUCUGCUCCUCCCUGCCCAGUGAGCAUUUUGAUUUGUUGUUGACAAUCCUGAUAAAAUGCCACCAUCUGGAGACGCAGAGAUCUCAUGUAUGUUGUCCCCCCAGAUGAUGUCAGGAAGAUUUGAGCCCAAAGUCAUCUGAUGACACCGAGGAAUAAGACCCAAGAACCUUCCUCGUGGGUCAACGCUGUGGAUUUAGCAAUGCUCCGCCUCUGCCCCCUGCAUGGUGUCUAGACCUCACCACAGCUCUGGGGGAGUCACAGAUGCACUGUUACAGCCGCUGGGGGUCCAGAGGGAGCCCCAUUAUCAAACCCUUGAGUAAUUCUGCAGUGAAAUGUGUGGUUUACUACAAAUGGGGGGGGGGCAGGGUGGAGGGCUGAGAAUUGAGAUCACGGUCUCAUCUCAGUUCAGGUCAGAGAUUUAACCAAGAGAAUUUGUGCCCAACUUAAUCUCUGUUUUCAGAGCUCGGGGGGGCUUUGGAACCGAUGAUUAAGGGAUGGGGAGCCUCUACGAACCCCAUUUUAUAGAUGAUGAAGCUGAGGGACAUAAAGGAUCCAAUGUUGUGGGAAGUGGCUGAGUCGGGAUUUAAAUCAGGCCGAGCUGUCAACUUCCGUGCUCCCCCGUCCACUGUGUCCCCAACACCGUAACCAUGUAACAGGCAGCUGUUUGUUUUCAGGUCUUUCUUUCUUUCUUUCUUUCUUUCUUUCUUUCUUUCUUUCUUUCUUUCCUCUUUCUUUCUUUCUUUCUCUUUCUUUCUCUCCUUCUCUUUCUUUCUUUCUCUUUCUUUCUUCUUUCGUUCUUUGUCUUUUUAGAGCCACAUAUGGAAGUUUCUGGGCCAGGGGUUGAAUUGGAGCUGCAGCUGCAGGUCUAUACCACAGCCACAGCCACACUGUUCUGCACCUGCCACCUACGUCAUAGCUUGCAGCUGGAUCUUUAACCCAUUGAGCGAGGCCAGGGGUCGAACCCCCUUCUCACAGAGAUCAUGUCAGGCUCUUAACUCACUGAGACACAGCAGGAACUCCACGAGGCACCUUUAUACUAUAGACUCAUUUAAUCUUACACCAGAGAGGUAGAACAGAAGUAGAAAACUGAUCCCCAGUUUUUCCAGGAGGAAACUCUCAGGAGAGUAAUAAAUUUAUCCAAAGUGAGCAGGCCAGGCGGUCCAGGCGAUCCAGUGGGCUAAGGAUCUGGCAUUGUCACUGCAGUGGCUUGGGUUGCCGCUAUGGCGGGGAUUUGAUCACUGUCCCAAGAAUAUCCAUAUGCAAUGGAGGCAGCCAAAAUAAAUAAGUAACCGAAGUGAACAGCCAGUAACUGACUGAUAGAAGCAGAAUUCCACCCAGGUCCACCCACUUCAAGUCCACAGUGGACUGCUAGAUUUUCUCUGAAUAUCACCUCUUGUAUCCUGAACACACAGACAUAAGUUACAAAAGAAUAAAUACAGGAGGAGUUCCCGUCGUGGCGCAGUGGUUAACGAAUCUGACUAGGAACCAUGAGGUUGAAGGUUUGAUCCCUGGCCGCGCUCAGUGGGUUAAGGAUCUGGGUUGCCGUGAGCUGUGAUGCAGGUUGCAGACACGGCUCGGAUCCCGCGUUGCUGUGGCUGUGGCGUAGGCUGGCGGCUACAGCUCCGAUUAGACCCCUAGCCUGGGAACUUCCAUAUGCC